rnacentral:rRNA from 1 species
UACGUAGGGACCAAGCGUUGUUCGGAUUUACUGGGCGUAAAGGGCGCGUAGGCGGCGCGGUAAGUCACUUGUGAAAUCUCUGAGCUUAACUCAGAACGGCCAAGUGAUACUGCAGUGCUAGAGUGUGGAAGGGGCGAUCGGAAUUCUUGGUGUAGCGGUGAAAUGCGUAGAUAUCGAGAGGAACACCUGAGGUGAAGACGGGUUGCUGGGCCAACACUGACGCUGAGGCGCGAAAGCGUGGGGAGCGAACAGG